UACGUAGGGUGCGAGCGUUGUCCGGAAUUAUUGGGCGUAAAGGGCUCGUAGGCGGUCUGUCACGUCGGGAGUGAAAACACGGGGCUUAACCCCGUGCCUGCUUCCGAUACGGGCAGACUAGAGGUAUGCAGGGGAGAACGGAAUUCCUGGUGUAGCGGUGAAAUGCGCAGAUAUCAGGAGGAACACCGGUGGCGAAGGCGGGUCUCUGGGCCGAUACUGACACUGAGGAGCGAAAGCGUGGGGAGCGAACAGG
rnacentral:rRNA from 1 species